rnacentral:ncRNA from 1 species
GGUUACGUGCCGCAGUUCGCAAUUUGCGUUAACUGUGGUCGUGACUUCUAAUUUGCUGGUUUGAGGUUGGGUUCGCCCUUCAACUGCCAGCAGGUUUACCUUGAAUAAAUCAGAGUGCUCAAUACAGGCGCUUGCUUGAAUAGCUCAUCAUGGAAUAAUGAAACAGGACUUCGGUUCUUUUUGUUGGUUCUAGAAUUGAUCUAAUGGUUAAGAGGGACAAACCGGGGGCAUUCGUAUCAUUACGCGAGAGGUGAAAUUCGUGGACCGUAGUGAGACGCCCAAUAGCGAAAGCAUUUGCCAAGAAUGUCUUCAUUAAUCAAGAACGAAAGUCAGAGGUUCGAAGGCGAUUAGAUACCGCCCUAGUUCUGACCGUAAACGAUGCCAUCUCGCGAUUCGGAGGGUUCAUGCCCUACCGAGGAGCUACCCGGAAACGAAAGUCUUUCGGUUCCGGGGGUAGUAUGGUUGCAAAGCUGAAACUUAAAGAAAUUGACGGAAGGGCACCACAAGGCGUGGAGCUUGCGGCUUAAUUUGACUCAACACGGGAAAACUCACCCGGUCCGGACACUAUUAGGACUGACAGAUUGAAAGCUCUUUCUCGAUUUGGUGGUUGGUGGUGCAUGGCCGAUCUUAGUUGGUGGAGUGAUUUGUCUGGUUUAUUCCGAUAACGAGCGAGACUCUAGCCUGCUAAAUAGUCGACGAAUCUUCGGGUUCGUAUAACUUCUUAGAGGGAUAAGCGGUGUUUAGCCGCACGAGAUUGAGCGAUAACAGGUCUGUGAUGCCCUUAGAUGUCCGGGGCUGCACGCGUGCUACACUGGUGGAGUCAGCGGGUUUUUCCUAUGCCGAAAGGUAUCGGUAAACCGUUGAACUUCUUCCAUGUCCGGGAUAGGGUAUUGUAAUUAUUACCCUUAAACGAGGAAUGCCUAGUAAGUGUGAGUCAUCAGCUCACGUUGAUUACGUCCCUGCCCUUUGUACACACCGCCCGUCGCUAUCCGGGACUGAACUGAUUCGAGAAGAGUGGGGACUGUGGCUGCGAGGUUUUACCACUUCGCAGUUGCGGAAACCAUUUUUAUCGCAUUGGUUUGAACCGGGUAAAAGUCGUAACAAGGUAGCUGUAGGUGAACCUGCAGCUGGAUCAUCG